GGUAUAAAAUCUACCCUCUUUCAUAGCUGCUGCCAUAUGAAAGGCAUGGAAAAACCCACAUAUCUGAGAGAACUAGAGAAAGAAGAUGAUGGGCCUUUUUCAUGUUGGUCCCACUUCAAGCUCUUUAGGAUUCCAUGGCAAAAGAGAGAGAGACAAGGACAAGAGCGUUGCAGGUUCACAAGAGCUGUUUUCUUCAAAACCAGGCAUGCAAAACCAGGUGGUUUCAGAUAUGAUCCUCUCAGCUAUGCUCAGAACUUCGAUGAGGGGUGUUGGGAUGAAGAAGGUGAGAAUCCUAGACGUGGUUUUUCCUCCAGGUUUGCUGUCUGCACGGUGAAACCGCUUCCAGAUCGAUGAAUGGCGGUUUUGGUGCGAACAUCAGUGGUAUUGGGUGAGCGAAAAAUCUAAUAAUCAUGCUGAACGUACAAUAAUGACCAUUGAUUUCUUUAGAUAGAAAAGUGAUCAUUGAAUGGUCGCAUUCAUUUGCGGAUACCAAUGGUCGAGAUCGUCUUUCACUAGGAGUUAUGGAUUAUCCCCAUCCACAACACUGCCCAAAAUAGACGUUUCGCACCUUCCGUCCAUCUGUCUGUUUGGUCUUCGUAGGGAGAAUGAAUGUGUAUUAUUUUUUUCAGCUUUGUAAUAUGUUAUGUAUACCAUACACUUUGAAUGAGAACAUAUUCCCUCC